GGUGAACGCUGGCGGCGUGCCUAAUACAUGCAAGUCGAGCGAACAGACGAGGAGCUUGCUCCUCUGACGUUAGCGGCGGACGGGUGAGUAACACGUGGAUAACCUACCUAUAAGACUGGGAUAACUUCGGGAAACCGGAGCUAAUACCGGAUAAUAUAUUGAACCGCAUGGUUCAAUAGUGAAAGACGGUUUUGCUGUCACUUAUAGAUGGAUCCGCGCCGCAUUAGCUAGUUGGUAAGGUAACGGCUUACCAAGGCAACGAUGCGUAGCCGACCUGAGAGGGUGAUCGGCCACACUGGAACUGAGCCACGGUCCAGACUCCUACGGGAGGCAGCAGUAGGGAAUCUUCCGCAAUGGGCGAAAGCCUGACGGAGCAACGCCGCGUGAGUGAUGAAGGUCUUCGGAUCGUAAAACUCUGUUAUUAGGGAAGAACAAAUGUGUAAGUAACUAUGCACGUCUUGACGGUACCUAAUCAGAAAGCCACGGCUAACUACGUG
rnacentral:rRNA from 1 species